rnacentral:snRNA from 1 species
AUGCUGUCUUUGGCAGUACUUACACUAAAAUUGGAAAAAUGCAUAGAUUAGCCCGGUUUCUGUGCAAGGGUGACAUGCAAAUUCAUAGUGUUUCAUAAAUUUCA